GCCAGAGCUGCGGCCCAAAGGAAGGAAGCCAGCUCCCCACACCAGGGCCAGCAAGCCAGAGUCCAGCCCCACACCCGGAAGCCUUUCAUAAACGGCCUGCUGGGAAGGAAGCUUCAACUAAUCCAGCUGAUUCGAACCUGACCGCAUGCCCGCUAUGCACAAGGCCCCGGGCUGGGCCAGACGACGCCACAGUGAGCUGUGGCCUGGGAAGGGCUUAGCGAUGUGCUCAAUACUACCCGGCAAUACAUAAUUCAGUGUGUGCUUAGUAAAUACCAUCACCAUCCUGCCAGGGGCUGAGGCCAAAAUCUCAGAGUCAUCCCCAAACCCUCUCCAGGACCUGCAGACCUUCAGUAAGCCGCUCUGCUCUCCUGCCCAGACACCCUGCACCCAGCCACCGCACCCCUCUCCUCCCUCUGCUCCCUGUUCCCCUACCUGGAAGGCUCUGUCCCCACCUCUUCCCAUGCCCACCUCCUGCACCUCAAGCUUCCUCCUCCAAGAAGCCUCCCCUGACCACCAGUCGCCUUCCCAGUCACUCACGUCACCCCAUUUUUUGAUGUGUUUCAAC